GCGGCGCGAGCCCCCGCGACAUCAUCAAAUUGCGGGAACACCCUAAAGCUGGUCGCUACUAAGCGGGCGUCGAAAGACAGCCCGUGGCCAACUUUCGAUGUUUGGGUAGUGGCCAAACAUGGUUGCAACGGGUAACGGAGGGUUAGGGCUCGACCCCGGAGAAGGAGCCUGAGAAACGGCUACUACAUCCAAGGAAGGCAGCAGGCGCGCAAAUUACCCAAUCCCGAUCCGGGGAGGUAGUGAC
rnacentral:ncRNA from 1 species